GCUAAAUGCUUUGGGUCUGGAUUCCUUCACGUACCGAAUCGGUUUACAUACUCUCUCUUGCGUUCCAAUAAAAGUUUCACCAAUCUCACUCCUCUACCUGUGUAAUCGUCGUCAACCACCGUACUACCAGUUAUGAUGGUUACUACUUGAAGGAAAAUAUGGGUGUCUAACCCAUUAUUUGAGGAUGACCGUCUUAGGCUUGGAUUUGGAAUCAAUUAAGGUUGUACGAAUGAGGAGAUAAGAAUUGGAGAAGUGGGUUCAAGUGUUCAGUGCCGAAAUUGGAGUUCAGAGGAAUUCGGGUGUUGGGCAUCAGUGAACUCAUUCACUAAAUUGGUCAAGGAAGGUAAGCUGGCAAUGAAUGGUAUAAUUAUUUGUGGUUUUUGGUUCAUGGAUGACGUCCUUAUGAAAUUCAUGAAGCAUGCCUGGUUGGUUUGAUAACUUUGAUUCUCUAAUAACUAAAGAAAGAUGAGUGGGUCUGCUUGUUGACAA